CUAUAAAUAAUUUAAACAUUAUAAUGAUAAAAAUAUUGUUAUCAAUACCAAUAAAUAGUAAUAGUGUACUUAGACUUUUUUAAUUUGAUAUUUUUUUUUAGCAAGAAAUGGAAAGUCACUGCCAUUUCUCCCGUUACAAUUGAAAGUGGGCAAUACUACUAUACCUUGAUACUGAAGAACAUAACUUUCGAUGGAUCAUCGAACUGGCUAGCGAAAAUGAUCACAUCUAUUGACGAGUCUUUGUGUUGCCAAACUCAGGAUAAAAACUCUCAAGAAGAAAUGGAGA